CAAGGAAAAUGAACCCAGAUUUCCUGCUUUGCACUUUUCACCUCGACAGUCAUAUGGAAGCUUUGAUCCAACCUUGAAAAUCAUGCUUUGGACAGACUGUAAGCUCCAUGAGAGUAGACACCGGAAUUUCUACUUCUUUGGCAUGUUCCCCGAGCAUUCAGAAUAGGGGCAAUAAAUAACAAUGACGAUAAUAGGAUGGAAAAUUCUCAAAUCUCUUAUGCAUUUUAAUGACGUCGGCUUUUAUAUUAGAGAUGGGGACUCUCUGGAAACGACUUUGGUGCCCUUUCAUUUGAUUGGUUCCCACAGAAAUCAUCCAAGAAGCUGCAGUGAAUCAUUCAGACUCAUUACCUUCAAGAGGUAGGUUAGCCUUUCUUCAAUUUCAUCUGACUGCAAAUGGGAUCGGAAACUUUGAUUUUUGUAUUAUCUUCUCAACUUGAGCCGACAAGGAUAUGAAAUCACAAUGGAAAAGUCUUUGUGAUUUUGUGGCUAACAUCUCCAUCCACUCUCCUUCUUUCAUUACGGUGUAUCUUCUGAGGCUUCUACAAAUGAACAAAAAAGGGAGGAAGAGAAAAAACAAAUUAAAAAUAAAGUGAACUACCCUGACUACA